UGGACUUUCGCUGUUCGCUCCUCUCUCCUGGCAUGUCAAGCUCUGUCAGCACCAUGAGAUUCAUUAGUCGACGGGUGCUAGCUUCUCCGUGCACUACGCAUACAGGACUGCACCCUGCUGGAGAACUUGAGCCUUACACGUGAAAGGUUCUUAUUACCUGACCAGAAAGUUGAGGGCAAUGGAGCCGUGCCUCUUGGAAAAGUCAUGAUCAAGAACUCUGCGGUCCAUCUGUAGCCACUUACGCUGACCACUGGAAAAAGCAAGAAAGUGAUAGGACGCUCGAGAUGAUGUCAUUGGAGAAAAUGUGGAUCCAUGAUGCAAUAAUUGGGGGCGGAGUCAUGGUUUCCAUGAGGUCACCAUGCUGUCUAACUUCUUCCUACCCUGAAAAGUACGUCCUCAGAGACAGAAGACAGCUGUAUCUUCAUUGUAUCUGGAUGCAGUAUAAUAACUGUAAUGGUCCAAUCUGCUCCCGUUAGCAAAACUGUCACAAUGAAGCGUGCCGAUUUUACCCUGCGGCCAAAUGAGUCAGUAUUUCAAACAAGCCUAAUAAAAACUGAUGUCAUAUCCAC